rnacentral:rRNA from 1 species
UACGUAGGGGGCAAGCGUUGUCCGGAUUUACUGGGCGUAAAGAGCGUGUAGGCGGCCAAACAGGUCCGUUGUGAAAACUGGAGGCUCAACCUCCAGACGUCGACGGAAACCGUGUGGCUAGAGUCCGGAAGAGGUGAGUGGAACUGCGAGUGUAGAGGUGAAAUUCGUAGAUAUUCGCAAGAACACCAGUGGCGAAGGCGGCUCACUGGCCCGGUACUGACGCUGAGGUGCGAAAGCGUGGGGAGCAAACAGG